AACGAACGCUGGCGGCAUGCCUAACACAUGAAAGUCGAACGAGACCUUCGGGUGUAGUGGCGCACGGGUGCGUAACGCGUGGGAAUCUGCCCUUGGGUACGGAGAUACACUUAGAAAUGACUGCUAAUACCGUAUAAUGACCCCGGGUCAAAGAUUGAUAGCCAAACGAUGGGCUAGCGUCGGAUUAGCUAGUUGGUGAGCCAAAAGCUUACCUAGGCGACGAUCUGUAGCUGGUCUGAGAGGAUGAUCAGCAACACCGGGACUGAGACACGGCCCAGACUCCUACGGGAGGCAGCAGUGGGGAAUAUUGGACAAUGGGCGAAAGCCUGAUCCAGCAAUGCCGCGUGAGUGAUGAAGGCCUUAGGGUUGUAAAGCUCUUUUACCCGGGAUGAUAAUGACAUUACCGGAAGAAUAAGCCCCGGCUAACUCCGUUCCAGCCGCCGCCGUAA
rnacentral:rRNA from 1 species